AUGAUGUCCCCAUCACAUCUCCUUGGGCUUCUGCUCCUCUGGGUUUCAGCUUCCAGGGGUGAUAUUGUGCUGACCCAGUCUCCAGACUCCCUGUCUGGAACUCCAGGGGAGAAAGUCACCAUCACCUGCCGGGCCAGUCAGAGCAUUAGCAGCAGCUUACACUGGUACCAGCAGAAACCGAAUCAGCCUCCAAAGCUUCUAAUAAAGUAUGCUUCUCAGUCCAUCUCUGGGAUCCCCUCACGGUUCAGUGGCAGUGGAUCUGGGACGGAUUUCACACUCACCAUCAGUAGCCUAGAAGCUGAAGAUGCUGCAACUUACUACUGUCAACAGAGCAGUAGUAAUCCU